rnacentral:rRNA from 1 species
GACGAACGCUGGCGGCGUGCCUAAUACAUGCAAGUCGAGCGAGCGGCGGACGGGUGAGUAUCACGUAGGAACCUACCGAUAAGCGGGGGAUAACUACUGGAAACGGUAGCUAAUACCGCAUACCAUCGGGUGUGCCCAGAUGGGAUUAGCUAGUCGGUGGGGUAACGGCUCACCUAGGCGACGAUCCCUAGCCGGUCUGAGAGGAUGACCAGCCACACUGGAACUGGGACAGGGUCCAGACUCCUACGGGAGGCAGCAGUGGGGAAUAUUGCACGAUGGGCGCACGCCUGAUGCAGCCACGCCGCGUGUAUGAAGAAGGCCUUCGGGUUGUAAAGUACUUUCAGCGAGGAGGCGUUCCUCGCAGAAGAAGCACCGUCUAACUCCGUGCCAGCAGCCGCGGUAAUUC